UACGGAGGAUGCAAGCGUUAUCCGGAAUGAUUGGGCGUAAAGGGUCUGCAGGUGGAACUGAAAGUCUGCUGUUAAAGAGUUUGGCUUAACCAAAUAAAAGCGGUGGAAACUACAGAACUAGAGUGCGGUAGGGGCAAAAGGAAUUCCUGGUGUAGCGGUGAAAUGCGUAGAUAUCAGGAAGAACACCGGUGGCGAAAGCGUUUUGCUAGACCGUAACUGACACUGAGGGACGAAAGCUAGGGGAGCGAAUGGG
rnacentral:misc_RNA from 1 species